ACAGUUCUGCCAAUGCGCACUAUGACGCCGCCGGUUUCCAGGCGGGGUCCUGUUUGCCGUCUGUU
rnacentral:rRNA from 1 species